UUUAUGCUGAAUAUUGCUUUCCAUUGGCAUUUGUACAUAAUGGGAACUGUGGCUUUAUCUGUUUAGGGGGUAAAAAAAUGGGAAGAUGCAGCUCCCAAGAAAUUCAGUUUAUUUGUUUAUGUAAAAUGUCACCUUUCGCUCCAUGCAUCCUCUCACAUUUUCACAACAGAGAGAAACUGAUUGUACCCUUCUGUCGUGAAUCUAAAUUAGGCACACUUUCAUCACCUUACAAUUGGAUUUUCUUCAAAUGCAGCACCUUCCUGACCUGACAAGUACAUUUCAAAUGUCUCAGCACAAGAGAAAUUGUAUCCUUACCGCAUGGAGAUGUCUCAGUCGAAACCAGGUGUUCAGUAUUCAGACUGAUUGUGCAUCAGUGCUACAGAACUACAUGAAUACUGGAAUACUGCUCUGUGUACAAGACAUCUGCUGUCUGCUGCUGAAAGUAAAAACAGAAGCCAUAUGUUUGUUUGUGUGCGUGUGUAUGUACCAGAUGAAUAGAAAUGAAGCCUAGGCGCAAAUUCAAACUGGAAGACUCUUUAGCCCCACCUGCAUCAUCCAGUCGGCGUGUCCCGCUCAUCACCGCCGACCUAUCAACGCUGGACCAAGCCACGUCACGUCCAAUCACCGACCAAGGCCCAGUUGAUAAGGACCUCCAUCCAUGACAUCUUCCGCUUUCCAGCUGCGCUCAACCCUCCUCCACCCCUUCUCCACCUCCACUCUUCAGGCUCCCAUCCUUCACCGACCCCCACCACCAGUGUCGGGUCCCGGGGGAUGACAUUCCUAACCUACAUCGGGAAUGCUCAUCCGAGCUGAUCGCAAUUCACAGCUCAAUGUCCUCAGCCGGGGCC